rnacentral:rRNA from 1 species
GGCCAGACUCCUACGGGAGGCAGCAGUGGGGGAUAUUGCACAAUGGGGGGAACCCUGAUGCAGCGACGCCGCGUGGGUGAAGGAGCGUUUCGGCGCGUAAAGCCCUAUCGGCAGGGAAGAAGGAGGACGGUACCUGACUAAGAAGCCCCGGCUAACUACGUGCCAGCAGCCGCGGUAAUACGUAGGGGGCAAGCGUUAUCCGGAUUUACUGGGUGUAGAGGGAGCGUAGACGGCCAUGCAAGCCUGAUGUGAAAGGUGUGGGCACAACCCGCACACUGCAUUGGGAACUGUAUGGCUAGAGUGUUGGAGGGGCAGGCGGAAUUCCUGGUGUAGCGGUGAAAUGCGUAGAUAUCAGGAGGAACACCGGUGGCGAAGGCGGCCUGCUGGACUGCAACUGACGUUGAGGCCCGAAAGCGUGGGGAGCAAACAGGAUUAGAUACCCGCGUAAC